rnacentral:rRNA from 1 species
UCGGGAAACCGGAGCUAAUACCGGAUAAUAUUUUGAACCGCAUGGUUCAAAAGUGAAAGACGGUCUUGCUGUCACUUAUAGAUGGAUCCGCGCUGCAUUAGCUAGUUGGUAAGGUAACGGCUUACCAAGGCAACGAUGCAUAGCCGACCUGAGAGGGUGAUCGGCCACACUGGAACUGAGACACGGUCCAGACUCCUACGGGAGGCAGCAGUAGGGAAUCUUCCGCAAUGGGCGAAAGCCUGACGGAGCAACGCCGCGUGAGUGAUGAAGGUCUUCGGAUCGUAAAACUCUGUUAUUAGGGAAGAACAUAUGUGUAAGUAACUGUGCACAUCUUGA